UACGAAGGGAGCUAGCGUUGUUCGGAAUCACUGGGCGUAAAGCGCAAGUCGGCGGAUUUGUCAGUCGGGGGUGAAAUCCCGAGGCUCAACCUCGGAACUGCCUCCGAUACAGCAAAUCUCGAGUCCGGGAGAGGUGGGUGGAAUUCCUAGUGUAGAGGUGAAAUUCGUAGAUAUUAGGAAGAAGACCAGUGGCGAAGGCGGCCCACUGGCCCGGUACUGACGCUGAGGUGCGAAAGCGUGUGGAGCAAACAGG
rnacentral:rRNA from 1 species